rnacentral:rRNA from 1 species
AUUCCGGUUGAUCCUGCCGGAGGACAUUGCUAUUGGGAUUCGAUUUAGCCAUGCUAGUCGAGCGAGUUCAGACUCGUGGCGAAUAGCUCAGUAACACGUGGCCAAGCUCCCCUUCAGUCAGCGAUACCCUCGGGAAACUGAGGUUAACAGCUGAUACAAAACGCCAGCUGGAAUGCGGCGUUUCAGAAAGACAUCGCUGAAGGAUGCGGCUGCGGCCGAUUAGGUUGACGGUGGGGUAACGGCCCACCGUGCCAGUAAUCGGUACGGGUGAUGAGAGUCAGAGCCCGGAGACGGAAUCUGAGACAAGAUUCCGGGCCCUACGGGGCGCAGCAGGCGCGAAACCUUUACACUGCACGAAAGUGCGAUAGGGGAAUCCCAAGUGCGAGGGCAUAUUAGCCCUCGCUUUUCUCGACUGUAAGGUGGUCGACGAAUAAGAGCUGGGCAAGACCGGUGCCAGCCGCCGCGGUAAUACCGGCAGCUCAAGUGAUGUCCCAUAUUAUUGGGCCUAAAGCGUCCGUAGCU